rnacentral:rRNA from 1 species
AUGAAGCUUGGCAGCUUUGUGCGUCUACAUACGUACAGUCUUCCUACAGCCGGAAAGUACUCGGCUGGCUCGACGACUGCGUGUGUGCUCUUGACGGAAAGUAAUCGUUUACGAGCGACGUACGUAUCGACACGGGCCUGUGUCCAACAACGGAGACACCUUUGCAGUCCCGAUGGUGUCGCUGCUGCGGUGGUUCCAUUCCGGCGGCAUCGUCGAUCCGUUCAAAACAGGGCUCGUCCAUGGGGUGGCCCGCCCAUCAAGACAGAGGCAUGGACCGCCCGACAUCGUUAUUGCUCAAAUAUCAGUGCGUUUCUCGCAACAGAUUACUGGGAAGAUGAAGCAAUGGCCCUCUUCCCUCUUCGUCAGUACAGUUUUACAGGCUAA